AUGGGCACGAGACCAUUGUCCUGCACAUAAAAAUUAAUGUAAAUGAAAAACAGAACCUGUAAUAAUUGGCAUAUGCAUGCUGACCAAUCCAGCAACGUGAUCCAUGCCAUCACUGGGAAAAGAGCAGAGGGCUGAAAUUCUACUCCCAUGUACACAACCAGACAAAUUGAUCAAACGAUUGGAAGACAAAUAUCUAUUCAUUUAAAAGAGAAAUGAAAGAACCCAAGAAUUCAAAAGUCCCACAGUUACCUCUAUCUCAAAUGAAAUUUCAAUUAAUUCACCAAUAUUUUAACUUUCUUGCUGCUUGACAGAAUGCAUCAGAGAGUUCAUAGAUGUUAUAAUCACAUCUACAAGCAUCCCUCCCCAUGCAUUUCUAACAAAAAGGAAAAUGACAUAGGCAUGCAUUUCUAACUUUGUUGAAAGGGUUUUUGCCAAUAUAAUUGAGAAAUAGAAUUUAGAAGUGAAAGAAUACCUGAGAAAUGGCAGCAUAGCGUG
rnacentral:misc_RNA from 1 species